rnacentral:snRNA from 1 species
UUGCUCGCUUCGGCAGCACGUAUACUAAAAUUGGAACGAUACAGAGAAGAUUAGCAUGGCCCCUGCACAAGGAUGACAUGCAAAUUCAUGAAGCAUUCCAUAUUUAA